CACACCACUGUGCCCGGCUAAUUUUUUGUAUUUUUAGUAGAGACGGGGUUUCACCAGGUUGGCCAGGUUGGUCUCAAACUCCUGACCUCAGGUGAUUCACCUGCCUUGGCCUCCCAAAGUGCUGGGAUUGCAGGCGUGAGUCACCGCACCCCGACCCCCACUUCCCAUCCUUCUGUGGUUGGUUUUGUCUUCCUGUGCUUUUCAGCUGGGAUUGCAGGCGUGAGCCACCGCACCCCGACCCCCACUUCCCAUCCUUCUGUGGUUGGUUUUGUCUUCCUGUGCUUUUCAACUGGGAUUGCAGGCGUGAGCCACCGCACCCCGACCCCCACUUCCCAUCCUUCUUUGGUUGGUUUUGUCUUCCUGUGCUUUUCAGGCUCUGGGGCUGCAUCACUGUGCAUCUUUGCUGGCAUUUUGCUGGGCAGGCCCUUCAUGCUGCACCACUAGGGGGCUUCCUUCGUGCAAAAUCGUGCUGGCCUCCAUAUGUGCGAGGACAAGGGCUCACCUGCCAGCCCCCAGACGACAGCAGCUGAGACCAGGUGGAGCAGUGUGUCUGAGAGGACAGCACCCCCACCAGAGACAGACUCCUGCACACUGGCUCUGCAGCCCUGGCCCACGGCCUCCACCUGAGGGCUGAGGUGGCUGCCCCUGCUCCGGCCAUCAUGUUUGCAUUCCAGCCAGGAAGGGAGGGGACAAAGCUCAGGAAGUUCACAUUCAUCUUCUGCUCACAUCCUGCCGGCCGGAACAGAGCCACAGGCCAAUGUCUGGCUGCAAGGGAGGUUGAGAAACGUGGCCAUUUGUGGGGCAGCCUGUGCCCAGCUGAGACGUGGGGCUCUAUUAUUACAGGAAAGACCCUGGGGAGGGGGAGCCUCCUGACAAGCAGGCAGCCUCCUCUCCAUUUCCUCAUCCUGAGGAGUGAAGGUCGUUUUUGCUCCCUUUCCUGUCAUUCUGGUGGCUUCUGGGCAGAGUAGAGAUAAGCCUAUGUGCAGAAUGGGCCGCGUUGACCUGGAAGGGCCACGUCUGUUGGCUGGUUUGCUUUCAGCAUCUCCUUUUCAUACCUCUGGGCUUUCUUCUCUCUCUGCCCUGACCCGUCCACCCUGGUCCUCUAAUCACAUGCAAGCUCCUGGCUCAUGGGCUGGACUCCAGUCCCUCCUACUUCCCCCAUUUGGCAUCCCCUUCUCCCACAGGCCAGGCUCCCGGGUGCAUGGGGGGGUGCUCCCGACGCACGCCAUGCCACCGAGGACUCCUUGCCAGCGCCACGCCAUGCGCGGCACUGCGCAGAUGCCUUGAAGGAAACACGAGGGGCCGGGGAAGAAGCCGGGAGAAUGAGACCCUCUGCUUCUAGAGGUGCAGUGUGAACUUAGAUGGUUCUCUGCCUGGGACAUGCCAACUGUCUCACGCACAUGCGUGCCCGCCUCCAUACGGCAGGCUGGUGGGCCACACAGCCACGGAGCCAGGACUCGUCUCUAACGCUGCUGCGGGGUUUGCUCAGGACCUGCUCUAAGGAAAGACACACUCUUCUGGCAAAGCCCGAGACUUCACCUGCAGGGAGGGCUGGCAUGAUCGUCUCACCAGGAUUAUACAAAUAGGUUCCCUACUGAGUCUAAAGAACACAGUACUUUCUUU
rnacentral:lncRNA from 1 species